rnacentral:siRNA from 1 species
UUACAACUCAUGCCACAUUUGGU